ensembl:lncRNA
AUGAGCCAAUUAGCGCUGGGCACAGUGGGCUGUGUCCUUGGCAGACAGGCAUGGGGAGGGGGGCACCCAGGGAUGCCCCAGCAGCAGGACCACGCUCCAGCCACUUGCAGGCCAGGGACUCUGGAACUAGCUGAGGUGCAUGGCUGUGUUACCUGCACGGGGGCACAGGUGUGCCGGCGCCCCAGGUGUGGUGUGUGCGGCCUCGGGAGGGCGGAGGGCGUGAGGCUGAGUUCCCUCUGUUUCCUGGGGGAACGCCCCACACGCACCCAGGAAUUNNNNNNNNNNNNNNNNNNNNNNNNNNNNNNNNNNNNNNNNNNNNNNNNNNNNNNNNNNNNNNNNNNNNNNNNNNNNNNNNNNNNNNNNNNNNNNNNNNNUGUUUCCUGGGGGAACGCCCCACACGCACCCAGGAAUUGAAGCUUGGAGAUGCGGGACCCACCAGGUAGAGCUACGGAGGUGCUUCCAAGCCCCUGCCCACCACGUGCCGCGCGGGCUGCCCUGUGGCUGCGAGUGUGGGAAGGGGAACAGGAUCGCAGUGGGGCGGGACGCGGGCUGCUGGGAGGUUGCGAUUGGUCCUGACGGGAGGCCCACUCGGAAGCAGAGCUCUGGCGAGGAUUCCGCCACGACCAGCUGCCCGGCCAGCUCGGGGGCCCCCUCUGCGGCUCCAUACUCACAGGCCGGCGUCCUCGGUCUCGGGGAGCUUGUCCCCCCGGGCUCUAGGGGUGGGAACGGCUCAGGUCCACACCCCUGGGUGACAGCUCUCUUCUGCCUGAUCCUGAGGACUUGUUCAGCCGCCAAUGAAAAGGCCUUAGCUUCUGUCUCGUGUGGUGUUCAGUGGCGGUGCCCAGGCUAGAACACAGAACACACUUCGGUUUUGCUGACCCUCCCUGUGGGCAGGAGGAGAGUCCUUCCUCCCCGAGAGCUUUCUUCUGGACGCAUCUGGUGCCGCCAGGACCGGGGGACAGAGAUCGGUUUCCAGGAGCAGGCCAGGUGGUAGCCUGGGUGCGGGCUCACCCUGGGCCUGUGGGAGGGGGUGUCCCAUCUCCAGUGUGAGCUGAGAUCGACGGAGUCUCUCUCCUUCUAGGGAGGGAGGUUUACUGAGGAUGAAGGUGUGAGUGGCCCCCCGUGCACACCAGGAGGGACUCUGAAAACGCGAGCAUUCACGUGCUUCUAAAUAAAGACAGCGCUGUACGUGGCAGGACAUGGAUGAUCGAGCCGUCCUGGGAGGGGGGCCGGGGGCGCUGGCCUCUGUGUCUGUCCCUUCCCAGCCUGGGGAGCAGCCCCUCAGACCGUCUAACCUCAGGGAUGGAGCUGCCAGGCUUCGGAGAGCUGCAACAGCGGCCUCAGGGUGGACAUGGUGGCUGCCAGCAGUGGGCUCUUGGAGCUGCGGCUCAGAGCAGGGGGCCAGGCUAGGGUCCCCAGGCUCCAUCUCUGCCCACCCACCUGCCCCUCCUGCCAGGCUCACCCACAGGGCUCAGCUCCCAGGAGAAAUCUGACCUCACCCCAGAGCCGGAGAGGAUGGGGAAGCGGACAUUUUCAAAGCUUUGUGUGUUGGGGCAGGGCUGCUGCUAGAGAUAAAUGGAGCUGCUGGCGAGGCGGCCAGUGAGGGAGAUUCUCCUUCCUCCACGCCCUUGAACGUGUUGUGGAAGCAACCGGAAUUCUCCCGGCUCAUUUUACGGGGGAGGGUGGAGAGAAAGAAGGAGGGGAGAGUGGUCAGUCGACCUGGGAGCUGGGAGAGGAAGUUUCAGCUGCCGCCUCUGCCCCCCCACCCCACUGGGAGCCCGGACUGCAGCUGCUGCUGGUGGGGAGAAGGGUGUUUUCCCAGGGCAGGGGGCUGCAUCUUCAUGGGAAAGCAGAGAGCAGGCAAAACGCAGCUGGAUGGACUGGGUUCGCACGAUGCUCAGACCCUUCCUGAGCGUGGGCUGAAGGACCCAGCGGCCCCGCGAAGUGACCCGGACCUCGUGAGUCUGCUCCCUCCAGUGGGGAAACAUCCCAGGAGACCCUGAAGAGCCCGGUCCAUGCCUCGCCCUAGUUUGAGGCUUGGAAUGAUGUGACCCCAGCUCCCGGUCAGGAGGAACGGGAAGGUGGGUCCCCACAAGUGACCCUGGAGGGGGCGGGCGGAAGCAGACACAGGCCGGCUCCGGAAGAUCAGGGAGAAAGCAGUGCGACUGUUCUGACAGACCCAGUAUAAAGGUUUGAUAAAGUGCAGCCCCCAGCUGCAAAUUUAAAAACCCGGCCACUUAGCGAAUCUGGAGUACAGAUGCCCUGUUUCACCUGAUAAAGGGAACCUUCCAGAAUCUUGCGGCGAAUGUGGUUUGCGAUGACAGACCAAGCAUUUCUCUUCAAGAAAGAACACAAGAGAAAGAUGCUAAUGUCGCUACUCCCCCUCGGCAGCGUGUGGAGGAUCCCCCCAGCACAAGAACACAGGAGGAGUCGCUUGGAAGUACGAAGAUCGG